GGAACUUCACUGUGUUUGAAGCUUUCUUGUGGAAGUCCCUGGUGGACAGUAAUUCUUUGCACAACGGAACCAUUUCCUUGGAGGUGGUCCACAGCUCUCGCUCCAGAGAGGACUGUGGCAUCUUUGACCCUGUCAGCAGGAAGCUGGAUCUGGACAAAUGUGACUCUCUGAGAGGGUCUGUCUGCCAGUUGAAAGGUAGCAACAAAAGAUACAACUAUGGCUGGCAUGCUUGUCUAAAUAUGAAAAUAUUUAGUUUUUCAUUAUAUACACUGUUAAGUCCAAUCUGUUGGAUCUACAGUAUUAGAACAUAUUGCGUUAUAUUUAUGUAUUUCUGCAGGUCUACCACAUGGACUCAAUUUACCAAAGACAACGUUCUUCACUAGACUCAGCGAGGAUCCCCAGGCUAAACUGGUGAGUUGGACAGUAUAGUUGUUUGCAGCAUAUCAGUGUUUUAAUGAUACAGUGACAGUGUUUCCAUUCUGCUGCAGAGGCCCAUUUAAAAGAUAAAAGAACUGAAUGCCUUUGGGGGAACAGAUAGUGUUUUAUUGCCAUGAAGUUUAGAAAGAAAAUAUGCCUUUAAAAAAAAUUAAUUUUUAUAUGUCUGACAUAUCUAAUAUGAGCCCCGUCUCUCCUUGUCUCAGGUCGUGGAGCAGAUGAACGUUAAUAAAUUCUGGGAAGUCCUGACUAUGCUUCACCCCGAGAUUCUUUUGCGUAUCUCUCCCAGUGAUGUGCUGUACCUCUCCCAGAAGAUUGAAAUGGACCUGAGUCCACUGGGUGGCACUCACUUUGUAAAAGGCGAUGCAACAGAGGUCAUGUUGUCUAUUGCCACCAACUACGUGAAAAUGUCAAGUUUGUUGCUGGAACCCCACGUGGCUGCACAUUGGAUGGGCAGCACUGAAGAUGGGGUCAGUGUGGGGCCAUUUACUGUCAUUAGGAGCAUCGAUCGUCUCUCUGAAGCUCUUGCAGAUGUGCUUUUUGCUGAGCAAAGAGGAUUCACUCUUUCUACCAAGAACAUAGGUAAUGACAAUGUCCUGAUACAUCACCCAUACUUAUAAAUACAUACAUACAUUACUGUAUUAAUGGAUGAAACAAAAAGAAAUAAUAUGUCAUCCACUAGUAGCAAUUGGCUUUGUAAAACAGAUGAAUAACUCUUCUUGCCUUUUUUUUGUUUUAUUUAUUUCUUAACUUCCAGAUGUGUUCCUAAAAUGGCAGAAUCUAUCUGAAGAGAUCUGUAGUCAGGUAUUCAAGACAUCUGACUCUGGUAGUGGUCAGGAUGAGCUACUGAUCCCAGACACUGAGCUUCAGAGAAUAACUACGCUAGGUAAGAAAUUGGUAAAAAGCAUUUAAACAAAGAUCAAAGGUAGUUAGAUAGUUAGGUAGUAGAUUCACUACCUAUAACGUCAGUAAAACGUUACUAACUACUACAGGUUGUUACAUAUUUGAAAUCUGCUGAAUGUUAUGGCUUCUUAAGUAAACUAAGGAUUUCAUAUCAGUGAGCAAUCAAAAGAAAUGUAUCUCUCUUGCUUAUUUCUGUCCUCAGGAUAUGACGAAGUGAUGUUUGUUCAUACCCAUUACAGCCAUUUGAAUGAGCUCCUGUCUGUAUCACGAGAGCCACAGACUCAACAGGACAUAACAAAAAGGUUGGAUGUAGGCUUGUAUUCAAACUUGGAUGCAGCAAACAUUUUAAUAGUCUUUAGUUUUAAGAGCCAAACUCUUUAAAUAUUGUCAAAAAAAACUGAACCGUGCACUUUUUAAAAUGGGGAUUUUGAUCGUUUGAAAAGUUAAUUGCCGUAGGAAAGAUUUUAAUGUUACUCUUAUUUGUAGUGUUUACCACCAUGUGCAUCUGUUAGGGAUAAUUCUUGUUCUUCCUAGAACCCCUCCACGUCACCUUGCUUCUGGUGUCAUAUCAGCUGCCGUCCGCGUUGCCUCCAAGGCCCAAAGUGUCCCUGUGGCUGUACAGUACACCCUUUCCUCAUCAAACUUGGUACAGCCCAUUGUUUCAAACCAUUUCUUUGCUCUGUUGCUCAAGACUAGUAGCCAUGUUUUUCUUAAGUC
ensembl:lncRNA